ACUCAGUUGGUAGAGUACAACGCUCUUAACCUUGUGGACGUGGGUUCGAGCCCCAU
rfam:Triticum aestivum genome assembly, contig: Triticum_aestivum_CS42_TGACv1_scaffold_273881_3DS